rnacentral:rRNA from 1 species
UACGUAGGGUGCAAGCGUUAAUCGGAAUUACUGGGCGUAAAGCGUGCGCAGGCGGUUUUCGUAAGUCUGACGUGAAAUCCCCGGGCUCAACCUGGGAAUUGCGUUGGAGACUGCAAGGCUGGAGUCUGGCAGAGGGGGGGGGUAGAAUUCCACGUGUAGCAGUGAAAUGCGUAGAGAUGUGGAGGAACACCGAUGGCCGAAGGCAGCCCCUGGGUCAAGACUGACGCUCAUGCACGAAAGCGUGGGGAGCAAACAGG